rnacentral:rRNA from 1 species
CCAGACUCCUACGGGAGGCAGCAGUGGGGGAUAUUGCACAAUGGGGGGAACCCUGAUGCAGCGACGCCGCGUGGGUGAAGGAGCGCUUCGGCGCGUAAAGCCCUAUCGGCAGGGAAGAAGGAGGACGGUACCUGACUAAGAAGCCCCGGCUAACUACGUGCCAGCAGCCGCGGUAAUACGUAGGGGGCAAGCGUUAUCCGGAUUUACUGGGUGUAAAGGGGGCGCAGACGGCAGCGCAAGCCAGGAGUGAAAGCCCGGGGCCCAACCCCGGGACUGCUCUUGGAACUGCGCGGCUGGAGUGCAGGAGGGGCAGGCGGAAUUCCUGGUGUAGCGGCGAAAUGCGUAGAUAUCAGGAGGAACACCGGUGGCGAAGGCGGCCUGCUGGACUGCGACUGACGUUGAGGCCCGAAAGCGUGGGGAGCAAACAGGAUUAGAUACCGUAA